AAAAUGUCCUCUGCUUAUAUGGAAUUCUAUACGAUAGUUUGGUAGGAGUGGGGCCAAGCUCCCAGGUGACAUUGAUGCUGCUGAUCAAUGGACCACUCUUUGAAGAGCACUGACGGCCUUAUGGGACAUCAAAGACCUUUGGCUUUGCUCUGUUUGACUUUAGAGUUAAACUCAAAAUAAACUACGCCGCUUGAAUGUCCCCUCACACAAGUCCCAUGCAAACAUGUUGGUGAGUCGUUUGAAUGAGUAUAAACAGUUCAUAUAUACGAGAGAGAAUUAAUAGGAUGUGACAUUAACACAUUCUCACAAUUUACGUUUGCAAACAGUUGAGGGUGAUCGCAGAACAGCACUAUCUGUGAAACUGGCAUUGGGAAACUGUUGUAUUCACCAGAGUGAUAGCAGAGAAUGAAAGACUCUGAAAAUUUGUUGCAGGCUUAUUUUUCUUGUUCUUGAAUGAAACCAUGGAUAGGCAUCUCCAUUUACAUUCAAGAAAGAAAAAACCCUCCAGUUACUGUCGGAAAUAAAAUGUCAUGUCUUCAAGAGCUAGCUCGAAGGAGCUUUCACUGACCAACUCAAGAACAAUUUGAGCACCAAGAUACACAAUAACAGUACAGGAUUAUAACCUUUUGAGUGAAAAAGCAAAGCAUGAGUUCAGACCAAUUACAUAAUCAACACAUAAACUAAUGAGGAAGAAGAGAAAGCUCUGACCAGCAAUACAGAACCAACUAAUAAAUGCAGAAAAAAUAAUAGGAUUAGAAAAUAAUCUUAUGGCAACCAUCACUGUAACAAUUAUUCCAAGCAAAAGUCAUCCAUGCAUGCUGAAAUUAGUGGGUAAAAGUCAUUGGAAUAAUAGGAAAUUUAUGUAG
rnacentral:lncRNA from 1 species